rnacentral:rRNA from 1 species
GUCCACGCCCUAAACUAUGUCAACUGGUUGUCGGGGAAGCAAUUCCUUGGUAACGAAGCUAACGCGUGAAGUUGACCGCCUGGGGAGUACGGCCGCAAGGUUAAACUCAAAGGAAUUGACGGGGACCCGCACAAGCGGUGGAUUAUGUGGAUUAAUUCGAUGCAACGCGAAAAACCUUAACCUACCCUUGACAUGCUAGGAAGCUCGCAGAGAUGUGAGUGUGCCCGAAAGGGAACCUAGACACAGGUGCUGCAUGGCUGUCGU